rnacentral:rRNA from 1 species
AGCAGCCGCGGUAAUUCCAGCUCCAAUAGCGUAUAUUAAAGUUGUUGCAGUUAAAAAGCUCGUAGUUGAAUUUCGGGAUCAGUAUGUUGGUCGUGCUUCGGUACGUACUGUCAUUACUGGUUUCUACCUUCUGAAGAACCUUGAUGUCAUUAAUUUGGUGUCUUGGGGAAUCAGGACUGUUACUUUGAAAAAAUUAGAGUGUUUAAAGCAAGCAUACGCUUGAAUACAUUAGCAUGGAAUAAUGAAAUAGGACGUUUGAUUCUAUUUUGUUGGUUUCUAGGAUCGACGUAAUGAUUAAUAGGGAUAGUUGGGGGCAUUAGUAUUCAAUUGUCAGAGGUGAAAUUCUUGGAUUUAUUGAAGACUAACUACUGCGAAAGCAUUUGCCAAGGAUGUUUUCAUUAAUCAAGAACGAAAGUUAGGGGAUCGAAGACGAUCAGAUACCGUCGUAGUCUUAACCAUAAACUAUGCCGACUAGGGAUCGGAUGAUGUUAUUUUUAAUGACUCA